rnacentral:rRNA from 1 species
CAUGCAAGUCGAGCGAGACCUUCGGGUCUAGCGGCGGACGGGUUAGUAACGCGUGGGAACGUACCCUUUUCUACGGAAUAGCCUUUGGAAACGAAGAGUAAUACCGUAUACGCCCUUCGGGGGAAAGAUUUAUCGGAGAAGGAUCGGCCCGCGUUAGAUUAGAUAGUUGGUGGGGUAAUGGCCUACCAAGUCUACGAUCUAUAGCUGGUUUUAGAGGAUGAUCAGCAACACUGGGACUGAGACACGGCCCAGACUCCUACGGGAGGCAGCAGUGGGGAAUCUUAGACAAUGGGCGCAAGCCUGAUCUAGCCAUGCCGCGUGAGUGAAGAAGGCCUUAGGGUCGUAAAGCUCUUUCGCCAGAGAUGAUAAUGACAGUACCUGGUAAAGAAACCCCGGCUAACUCCGUGCCAGCAGCCGCGGUAAUACGGAGGGGGUUAGCGUUGUUCGGAAUUACUGGGCGUAAAGCGCACGUAGGCGGAUUAGAAAGUUAGAGGUGAAAUCCCAGGGCUCAACCCUGGAACUGCCUUUAAAACUCCUAGUCUUGAGUUCGAGAGAGGUGAGUGGAAUUCCAAGUGUAGAGGUGAAAAUUCGUAGAUAUUUGGAGGAACACCAGUGGCGAAAGGCGGCUCACUGGCUCGAUACUGACGCUG